rnacentral:rRNA from 1 species
CCUACGGGAGGCAGCAGUAGGGAAUAUUGCUCAAUGGGGGAAACCCUGACGCAGCAACGCCGCGUGGAGGAUGAAGGUUUUCGGAUUGUAAACUCCUUUUGUUAGAGAAGAUAAUGACGGUAUCUAACGAAUAAGCACCGGCUAACUCCAUGCCAGCAGCCGCGGUAAUACGGAGGGUGCAAGCGUUACUCGGAAGCACUGGGCGUAAAGAGCGCGUAGGCGGGAUAGCAAGGCAGAUGUGAAAUCCUAUGGGUUAACCAUAGAACUGCAUUUGAAACUGUGAUUCUAGAGUAUGGGAGAGGUAGGUGGAAGUGUGGGUGGAGGGGUAAAAUCCGUAGAGAGCAAGAGGAAUACUCAGGGCGAAGGCGACCGGCUAGAACAUAACUGCCGCUGAUGCGCGAAAGCGUGGGGAGGAAACAGGAGGAGAUACCACUGUAGUC